GGAGCAGUGGCGUGGAAACAUAUCAUAAGCGGAAGGAGCAUAUCAAUAAGCGGAGGAGCAUAUCAAUAAGCGGAGGAGCAUAUCAAUAAGCGGAGGAGCAUAUCAAUAAGCGGAGGAACAUAUCAAUAAGCGGAGGAACAUAUCAAUAAGCGGAGGAACAUAUUUUUUAGCGGAGGAAACUUUCAACAACGGAAUCUCUUGGCUCUCGCAUCGAUGAAGAACGCAGCGAAAUGCGAUACGUAAUGUGAAUUGCAGAAUUCAGUGAAUCAUCGAAUCUUUGAACGCACCUUGCGCUCCUUGGUAUUCCGAGGAGCAUGCCUGUUUGAGUGUCAUGAAAUCUUCAACCCACCUCUUUCUUAGUGAAUCUGGUGGUGCUUGGUUUCUGAGCGCUGCUCUGCUUCGGCUUAGCUCGUUCGUAAUGCAUUAGCAUCCGCAACCGAACUUCGGAUUGACUUGGCGUAAUAGACUAUUCGCUGAGGAUUCUAGUUUACUAGAGCCGAGUUGGGUUAAAGGAAGCUCCUAAUCCUAAAGUCUAUUUUUUGAUUAGAUCUCAAAUCAGGUAGGACUACCCGCUGAACUUAAGCAUAUCAAUAAGCGGAGGAAAAA
rnacentral:rRNA from 1 species